UGCCUUGCAUUAAUCUGGGUUUAUCUAGUGAAAUUUGUUCAUUUUGACUUGUCAAGUUAUCUGAGAAGUAUGCACUACUAGAGCCAUGUGCAAACAUUUCUGCCUUAUUCUAUCAUGGCUUUUAAAUCAACACAAGAAGCAUUCUUGAUUUGUUUUACUGAUAAAUUCGUUUUCCUGAUUUGUUUCCCUGAUAAUUUUUUUAAGCACUCCCUGCCUAUUAAAAAAUUGUGAAGAAAGAUCUACAAGAAGAAAUACCUGAUACCUCUUUUCAUUGAACACCUCAUUCGAUAGUUCUGCCAGUGCUUAAAAAACCCUGCAAAAAGAAAUCAUGUUUGGAAAUUCUGUGGUCAUCUUUAAGAAAACAUGUGUGGUGAUGGCUAUAUUCCAUUUUUUCUGCUGCUGAAUC